rnacentral:tRNA from 1 species
GUCUGCGUGGCUUAGUUGGUAGUGUGUCUGGCUUGCAACCAAAUGUUCGUGGGUUCGAAUCCCACCUUUGCCU